GAGACCCCCACCAUUAAUUGCCACCACUAUCCGAGAGGUUUGUGGAGCUAGUUAAUGGGACUGCCGCUGCUAAGGCGGAGGAAGAAGGGGGCCACGGCAGGUCAGUAUGCCCCGAAACUCCCGGGCCACACGCGGGCUGCAAUGGUAGGGACAAUGGGUCCCGACCCCGAAAGGGAGAGGCAACCCCCAAACCCUACCCCAGUUGUGACUGAGGGCUGCAACCCGCCCUCACGAAUCUGGAAUCCCUAGUAACCGCGCGUCACCACCACGCGGUGAAUAC
rnacentral:rRNA from 1 species